GAUGAACGCUAGCUACAGGCUUAACACAUGCAAGUCGAGGGACCGGCGCUCGGGUGAGUAACACGUAUCCAACCUUCCCUUUACUCGGGGAUAGCCUUUCGCAAGAAAGACUAAUACCCGAUAUAAAGGAUGGGGAUGCGUUCCAUUAGGUUGUUGGUGAGGUAACGGCUCACCAAGCCUUCAAUGGAUAGGGGUUCUGAGAGGAAGGUACACCAGAUUGGAACUAAGACACAGACCAAACUGCGACGAGAGGCAGGAGUGAUGAAUAUAGGUCAAUGAGCGCUAGCCUAAACCUGCCAAGUGGCGUGAAGAGUGAAGGCUUAUGGGUCGUAAACUUCUGUUAAGUAAGAGUAGGUAUUAUAUGAAUAAGGACCGGCUAACUCCGUGCCAGCCGCCGCGGUAAUUC
rnacentral:rRNA from 1 species